AGGCAUCAAGGAUCCAGUUUAGAGUGUGGGACAGUGCAAGUCGUCUGAGAAAAUCUGCAGCUUCCUUAUAAAAGGCAAAAUCACCUUUCAUGUUGAAUAGUCAAAUCUGAAAAAGGACAGUAUAGAGAGUGCACAAAUGGGAGAGAGGAGGGGACUCUUUCAAGGAUAACCUGAAGCACAUCCACGCUAUAUGUCAGAGCACUGCACAAGGCUGUUGGUUCUGACAUUUUAUCUGAAUUUGAAAAAACUAUUUUACUUAAAAUAUUAAAUGCAUUUAAUUUAAGGCAGGGUUUUUCCUGCAUAGAGAAUUUCAAAGCAACUGUGUCUGUCAAAUUUAGUGCCUUCUCUGACUGUCGACAUAUGCUCCUAUAACCCUUAACCCAUGGUUGCAGGUUCCAUUCUCAAACCGUUUUACCCAUUUCCAUUGCAAAAAUAUAAAAAUCUCUUGUAAUGAGAGGUCGACCAACAAUGUUUUUUCACUGGCCGAUGCUGAUGUUUAGAAAUCAGGGUGGCCGAUGACUGAGAUAUGAUGCAGAUUUUUGGACCGAUAUUUUUGGCCGAUUUUCUUUUACCAUUGAUAUUCUAUUUUUUUUUUUUUUAGAUGCACCUGUACUUGUUCUGCCUUUGGGACUAAUCACAGUUGUGCUCAAGUCUAAUCAAAUGAGCUAUUUUUGUCUUAUUUUAUCAUAUCCCAUGUGAUCCAGUUGGGGCAGUUUUUCAUUAAUAUGUUUGUCUUAAGCUGUGUUAAAUAAGAAGUGUAAAUACAGAAUGUUCAUUUACUUUUGGCUAGACUAUGCCUUUAAGUGAACCAGAAUCUGCUAUCAAAUCAUGGUCAUAUUAUAGUUACAAUUACAUUUAAACUGGACAGUUUAUUUUAUAUUUUGGAUACCUGAAGAACUGUAACACUUGCCAUCGUGAUGCUAAAAUACAUAAGUAUUAUUAGAAAGAACAAUGGUAAAUGCAAUUGACUUAUGGCAUUGCCUUUUAAUUAAGGGAGCAGAAGCAGAAAGUGUGCCACAAGGAAAAUGAACAGGAGUUUAAAUUCUGAAUGUCUUUAUUAAAAUAAAAUCCAGCCAUGGUGUAAAAAUUAAAUGUGAUCCACACCUCAAAAUGUUAACAAAUAAAAACAAAUGUUAUCAAAUAUAUAGUGUUACUGUCACAAUUAUUGCACUGCUUGAGUAGCAAAGAACCCAGAUAAGGAGUAACUCAAACACUGGUCUUUAAUAAUACAAAACCAAGGUAUAACACAGGGCAGGCAGGAGUACACACAAAGAACCACGUAUUCAUUCAAUACCAGACAAACAGCAAACGCUAAAGCUGGGACUUAAAUGCAUUAGAAGAUGGAUGAGAUGCACCUAGGAUCAAUAAACAUAAUAAACAUGAGGGAAAACUGGGUCAUGGAAAACACGUGGGGAACAAAAUGCCGUCUAAUGAUUGAGAUGGCUAAAAGCUACAUUAAAGGUAAAUGUUUUAUUUUACCAGUGCCUUAUAAUUCUUAUAUUACUUUUUUUUUUUUUUUUUGUGGAGAGAACAUAUAACAUAAAAUUACAUUUAAUUUCACUUGUUUGUUUGUUUCACAAAUUCGU